GCCAGUGUGGUGCAGUGGUUUAGCACUGGACUAUGACUCUGGAGACAAUGGUUCAAAUCCCUGCUUAGCCA